rnacentral:antisense_RNA from 1 species
CAUUAUGUCGGGCUGGGCAGGCAGUCGCAAGACUGGCCGGUUUCUUGAAUCCGGUACGCCAACCUGUUCAGUCCGGCACCAGC